rnacentral:rRNA from 1 species
AGUCAAGUAAUUAAGUGCAUGUGGUGGAUGCCUUGGCAGUCAGAGGCGAUGAAAGACGUGAUAGCCUGCGAAAAGCUCCGGGGAGGCGGCAAAUAUCCUUUGAUCCGGAGAUGUCUGAAUGGGGGAACCCACCUACUUUAAGGUAGGUAUUGCAACAUGAAUACAUAGUGUUGCAAGGCGAACGAGGGGAAGUGAAACAUCUCAGUACCCUUAGGAAAAGAAAUCAAUUGAGAUUCCCUCAGUAGCGGCGAGCGAACGGGGAUCAGCCCAUUAAGUUAUGUGUGUUUUAGUGGAACGCUCUGGGAAGUGCGAACGUAGAGGGUGAUAUUCCCGUACACGAAAGGGCACACAUAAUGAUGACGAGUAGGGCGAGGCACGUGAAACCUUGUCUGAAUAUGGGGGGACCAUCCUCCAAGGCUAAAUACUCCUGACUGACCGAUAGUGAACCAGUACCGUGAGGGAAAGGCGAAAAGAACCCCUGUGAGGGGAGUGAAAUAGAUCCUGAAACCGCAUGCAUACAAGCAGUGGGAGCACCUUCGUGGUGUGACUGCGUACCUUUUGUAUAAUGGGUCAGCGACUUAUAUUCAGUAGCGAGGUUAACCGUAUAGGGGAGCCGUAGAGAAAUCGAGUCUUAAUAGGGCGUUUAGUUGCUGGGUAUAGACCCGAAACCAGGCGAUCUAUCCAUGAGCAGGUUGAAGGUUGGGUAACACUAACUGGAGGACCGAACCCACUGUCGUUGAAAAGCCAGGGGAUGACUUGUGGAUAGGGGUGAAAGGCUAAUCAAGCCUGGUGAUAGCUGGUUCUCCCCGAAAGCUAUUUAGGUAGCGCCUCGGACGAAUACCAUAGGGGGUAGAGCACUGUUUCGGCUAGGGGGUCAUCCCGACUUACCAAACCGAUGCAAACUCCGAAUACCUAUGAGUACUAUCCGGGAGACAGACUGCGGGUGCUAACGUCCGUAGUCAAGAGGAAAACAAUCCAGACCGCCAGCUAAGGCCCCAAAAUCAUAGUUAAGUGGGAAACGAUGUGGGAAGGCAUAGACAGCUAGGAGGUUGGCUUAGAAGCAGCCACCCUUUAAAGAAAGCGUAAUAGCUCACUAGUCGAGUCGGCCUGCGCGGAAGAUGUAACGGGGCUAAAACUAUGUGCCGAAGCU